rnacentral:tRNA from 1 species
GUCCUCGUAGCUCAAUUGGAUAGAGCGCCGCCCUCCGAAGGCGGAGGUUGUGGGUUCGAGACCCCCCGAGGACG